rfam:Ovis aries breed Texel chromosome 12, whole genome shotgun sequence.
UCCCUGGUAGUCCAGUAGCUACAACACUGCACUUCCAGUGCAGGGGACCCGGGUUCGAUCCCUGGUCAGGGAA